GUGCUUGCUUGAGCAGCACAUUAACUAAAAUUGGAACAAUAUAGAGAUUAGCAUGGACCUGUGCAAGAAUGACCUGUGCAAAUUAAUGAGGUGUUCCAUAAUUUU